rnacentral:rRNA from 1 species
GACGAACGCUGGCGGCGUGCUUAACACAUGCGAGUCGAACGGAAAGGCCCUGCUUUUGUGGGGUGCUCGAGUGGCGAACGGGUGAGUAACACGUGAGUAACCUGCCCUUGACUUUGGGAUAACUUCAGGAAACUGGGGCUAAUACCGGAUCGGAGCUCCUGCUGCAUGGUGGGGGUUGGAAAGUUUCGGCGGUUGGGGAUGGACUCGCGGCUUAUCAGCUUGUUGGUGGGGUAGUGGCUUACCAAGGCUUUGACGGGUAGCCGGCCUGAGAGGGUGACCGGCCACAUUGGGACUGAGAUACGGACCAGACUCCUACGGGAGGCAGCAGUGGGGAAUAUUGCACAAUGGGCGGAAGCCUGAUGCAGCAACGCCGCGUGCGGGAUGACGGCCUUCGGGUUGUAAACCGCUUUCGCCUGUGACGAAGCGUGAGUGACGGUAAUGGGUAAAGAAGCACCGGCUAACUACGUG